GCCAGCUCACGGCACCGUUUUGACACAGUGGUGGGAUCAGGCAGUACAUCCUGCGCUGCCACUGAACCAUAUCUAGCACCGAUGUUAAUAAGCUGCUGGGCCAGCUCAAUGAAACCCCCUCCUUCAAUGGAACAAAAUGGCCUAAUGUCUUUACAGCAGUACUCAACGCACUUUUCAGUCAGUUUUUGUUUGGCCCGCUGAGGAAUUUUUCUUGAGGAACUAGCACAGGCAGUGAUGCUCGGCUGCAGUAGCCCAGGUGACUUACAAACUCUAUCCACAUGACGCUGCAGGGCGGAAUUCCCGGUCCUCUUGCUGUCAUAUUUCAUGAGAAAUCCACAACUCUUAUAUUAAACAUAACCAACAUGUUCAUCACUAUCGGCCUUGACAACUAUGUUGAAAAACUUCCACACAGUAGACUUUCCUUCAUUUUCGGUGGUUUUAAAAUCUCCUGAGGCCAACUUCUUUUUAACGUCUUCCAUCGUUGCGCUGCCAGCCACAUGUAGCCAAAUAUGCAAUAUUAUGAACGCACGUGUUGCGCGUUGUCACAGCAACAUAAACAAAUUUCCGCACACAUGAAGAUGGAGUGUAGGGUAAUAUUUUUAAUUUAUUUUAAUCACAAAAACAAACAUUUGCAUCCAGUUAAACAUUAUAAUAA